UACGGGGGGGGCAAGCGUUGUUCGGAAUUACUGGGCGUAAAGGGCUCGUAGGCGGCCAACUAAGUCGGAUGUGAAAUCCCCAGGCUUAACCUGGGAACUGCAUCCGAUACUGGAUGGCUUGAAUCCGGGAGAGGGAUGCAGAAUUCCAGGUGUAGCGGUGAAAUGCGUAGAUAUCUGGAGGAACACCGGUGGCGAAGGCGGCCUUCUGGACGAUGACUGACGCUGAGACGCGAAAGCGUGGGGAGCAAACAGG
rnacentral:rRNA from 1 species